CCCGGAGCAUGAGACAACAGAACGCGAUCUCUUGGGGCAACUGCCAGUCCACGUCAUGAUAAACAGCUCCUACUUUGGACAAGAGUAAGGGAACGAAGCCAUUAUCCAACCUGUACAAAAUUAGCAAAAACUUGCCAGUUUCUGACAUUAGCUUGUGUGAUAUGUCCUCAAACAGCCAACGACCGUCCAAUGUGGAUAAAACUAUGCAUGAAUCUAUUCCAAAAAGCAUAUACUGCUGGUAAACUUGCAGACUAAUGAACUGCCUUUCACAAUCUCACAAUUUCUCCAAGAUCUUAAAUUAUUAUACCAUGAACAUGCCCAGUUUUCCCAAGUCAGCCAUAAAUUUAGUUUGUUUUUUUUUAAAUCACAGUCUGUGCAGCAUUUUGUUGUCCUCUGACUGUUUGUGUUGUUACCACAGCAACGUUUGCACAGAUAAAUUUGGCACAGAACAUGCGACACUUCUGCAACAUGGCUUUAGGAGGUGUUUCCUGGCACUACUUCCAGCAGAAGAGUUCAGGAGAAUGUAACAGAGCCACUGUCUGAGCAGGAGUCAGAGAAGAAGAGGGGGCCACACACAGGGCUGGAUUCGAUCAGGGCGCCACAUCUGCCCUGUGGCAGCUCAUAGUUCUUCCUGGAGAAGUCUCCAAGACAAACGAUGCGAACUACAAACUCUUCAGCAGCCACACAUGAUAAAGCCUAUAUUGUAGCAAAGAAGUCAGAGAAACCAGAAGAGAACAGAGGAAUGUCAUUUAUUUGUGGCCCUGAAUGAAGGCAAGAAAAGAGUGUAUGAAACUGCCCGGAACACAGGAGGGCUACUAAGGAAAUAAGUGGGACCCAGAAGGACAACACAGGAGAGAAGCUUCAUUCCUGCACAUUACCCUGCUUGCAACCUAGCUCCAACUCUUCUGAGAAAUAUCAGGGUCAAGCAAACACCUUUCCCUAGGUCUAGGAUGUUUGGUGCUUGCCCAGGAUGACCAAGAAUAAACAGUAUUGUCCACUUUCAAACCUGGAUAUCAAAAGAUUCAAAAGGAAUUUAGUGUCAGCAAUAGAAGCCAUCCCAGCAGCCAUCCUGCUGCAAACCUACUGCCAGCAAAAGGCCAAAACUGCAAAGGAAAAAGGUCAUGGAGGUGCAGACCUGUGAACACGCAUGCCCGCAAGAGGUUAACUGGUCACCAGCUCCAGAGAGAAGCAGAGAUCUUCUAGAACGGCAGGUCCCGGGCCCCAUGUCUUUUAUCGCAGAAUCAUGUAGUGCAGAGAUUUAGUUCUUGGGGUACCUUGCCACAGAAGAGGCUGCUCAUCUUAAGGUGGGGAAAGAGUGGGAUGAGAACUUGAGCUAUCUAGUGCAGGACACGAUGACAGCUGUGAAGCCAGGAGAAGCAAAAAGAAAGGCAUGACAGACAGACCGAGGGACUUGCAUGGAGGGGCGGAGAAUACCAGGGGAAGCCAAAACUAAAUACGAAUACAGGCUACUGCAAGGGGCCUUCAAGGAAUUCAUAGAAAACAGGAUUGAAAGGUAAGUUUAUUCUGGUGGAAAAAAAUUUAAAUCUGUAUACCAAUUCUUUCAUAAUACACAUUUCUGAAAACCCUGUAUACUAUAGAAAAUACUAAAGACUAAGGUACCGAGGGAGGGAGGGAGAGAUGGAGAGAGGGAGGUAAGUGUAGCAUUUAGUACAUAUUUGCUGAGCUACAAACACCAUGCUAGGUGCAGUGACGGGUAACUAGUGCCCAGCCCCUCAGCCCCUCUCGUACCCUCAGGAGGAGAAAGCUGUAAACAGGAACUCACAGUAUGGCAUCAUGACUAUGACACAGAAGGGGACGCUGCAGAAGCAGCAUAUCUAACGCAGCCCUGGGGGCGCAGGGAAAUCUUCCUAGAAGAGAUAUUGUCACUGAGCCCCAAAACAAAGAAUUAGCAAAUAGAAACUAACCAGGUAAAGUAAGAGAACAGAGUCCCAGGCAACCGGAAGGGCAUAUCCAAAGGCCAGGAGUGGAAGAUUGCCUUGCUCACUGGUAUGGGGUGGGGGUGGGGGAGGUCAUGCAGCCCCACCCACCUGGGACAGUCCUGGCUUGCUCUUGCUGUCCGGGUAUAAGUAUCUAUUCCUUACUAUUCAUAGACACUCUCUGGGAGCAUCCCUGUUCUGGGUCAGUCAUGUGGUUUCUGUGUUCUCUGACAGAAUUUGGAAGAUAAAGGAACCUAAAGUGACCAAGACCCAUCACCAUUUCCCCUAAAUUCUAUGUUUUCUGCAGCAAAAGGAGCCCAGGCUGACAGCUCACGCCGGGGCUGGUGCCGUGUGUUCUGGAAGGGUGUACUCGCCACAAAGAAGAGAGGCAAGCAGAAGCAGGGGCAGGUCCUGCCCAUGCAGACAAAGUAAGACUGAGGGAGAGGUGAGGGUUUCUGAAACUCUGAACAGCUAAGCUCCUGACAGCCCAGGCCCAGCAGGGGGUCUGAAAGAACCCCGCCAGAGAACAACGUCACGGCUAUUGGCCGGUUAGCACAGAAUUUUCAUCCCUCGUCUCAGAAAUUUGGAACAAACUUUCGAGGGAAUUUAAUUUUAGAAAAGGGACAAAGAGGAUGAGAUCCAGAACCCCUCCCCUCGACAAACACAUCACAGGUGGAGAGGCCACUGAAGAACUGAAAUUCCUAAAAUGUGCUGUUGCCAUCACAACGGAAAAGAAUAUAACCUCUUUAUUACUGGGGCAGGCAAUUACGUGAGUGCUCUGUGAAACCUAAGCCCUUUUGUGAGUUGGAGUUGAUGGAACAAUAAUGAAAGAGAGACGAUUCUUUUAUCACCAGAAAAUAAGUGUUAGUUUUCAAACAACAUUUACACGUCUCAGUGCCUGGGUGUUAUUUCUCAGGGACCACACGGAGCUUAGGAAGACAUAGUGUCAACCUGCUCAAGGCGACCGAGAGCUGACCUUGCCGUCCGGCUUCAUGCGGAUAGAGCGAAUCUGAAAAGACCAAGACAGGACACCUGAGGCACCCAUGACUGUCCUGGCUCACUGGUUCCUGCCACCUCUGUCCCUCGGCAAGACAGAGAAGUGCCUUUGGCACUUUUACAUCCUGACUGAACCUUCUUCCCUCCAGUCGCUCGUCCCCAGUGCCCAGGUUCCAUGAUGUUGGUUCUGUAUUGUUCACAAGCUACCUCCAAGAAUCACUGGUCCUACCAGUUGCAACCAUUCCACUAAAUUCUACUAAUUCUGAUCUGCCCUGCCUUCAUGGACACCCACAUUGCCACCAAAGGCUCAGGAAAAAUACUGGCACUUGAGUGUCAUUCUAGAGAAAUCUUACUUAGCCAAAAUAAUCAAACAGGGAUAAUUGUUUGCUUCUGUUAUUUGAUUGCCAAUUAAAUAGAAGAUUCAAUAUCACAGGCAAAAUUGGAUCAGGCUGUGACAUAAUACAAAGAUGUGUUGCCUUUCUUCCAUUGUCUGUUGUUUAAAAAAAUCCAUGGACGCUUAGAACUUUAAAGCUCAAAACUAACUUGGAAGUCACUUAGUCCGGCCCAUUCAUUUUACAGAUAAGGAAAGUGAGGUCUAGGGAGAAUAAAUUAACCAAACUAUGUAUUUCAUUAGAACAAAAGGAUAUUUCCUACAAAAGGAAUGUCACCAUAUGAUUGGCACGGACGGGUCCCACUCUGAACAACUUCUGAUGACUGUCAGUUUCCUCUUGCUUUUGAUGUACAGUCACUUAUCAAAGGUCUAACAUGUGGGACCCACAUGCAGUCAAGAAAGAAGGCGCAAAGGAUCAGAUGAGAGAGACCUUUAGAUAACGGGUCACUCACUGGGUCAAAUUUCUCUUAGAAAUUGUUUCCAUUUGGGUCAACAUUAUGUUUUCUGCAGGGCUGGAAGGCCUGUGGGAGAAAACUGGACUCCAGUCAAUUAUUCUUGGCUAGCCAAAAAAAAAAAAAAAAAAAAAAAAGGCAGCAGUCUCUCCUCAAAUCCAUAGCAGACAGUAUGUGGCCAGUAAAUGCAGCAAGAGGGACUUCACACAGCAGAAAACAUUUAGCACUUGCUGCUGCAUUGUAACAUCAAUCUGCAUCACUGCUAGACAUGAAAGGAAAAUGAGAAAUAAAAAAUAGGAAAAUCAAAA